rnacentral:rRNA from 1 species
AUUGAACGCUGGCGGCAUGCCUUACACAUGCAAGUCGAACGGCAGCGGGGGAGAAGCUUGCUUUUCCUGCCGGCGAGUGGCGAACGGGUGAGUAAUACAUCGGAACGUGCCCUGUAGUGGGGGAUAACUAGUCGAAAGAUUAGCUAAUACCGCAUACGGCCUGAGGGUGAGAGUGGGGGACCGCAAGGCCUCAUGCUAUAGGAGCGGCCGAUGUCUGAUUAGCUAGUUGGUGGGGUAAAGGCCUACCAAGGCGACGAUCAGUAGCUGGUCUGAGAGGACGAUCAGCCACACUGGGACUGGGACACGGCCCAGAAUCCUACGGGAGGCAGCAGUGGGGAAUUUUGGACAAUGGGCGAAAGCCUGAUCCAGCAAUGCCGCGUGUGUGAAGAAGGCCUUCGGGUUGUAAAGCACUUUUGUCCGGAAAGAAAUGGCUCUGGUUAAUACCUGGGUUCGAUGACGGUACCGGAAGAAUAAGGACCGGCUAACUACGUGCCAGCCGCCGCCGUAA